CCUACGGGUGGCUGCAGUGAGGAAUAUUGGUCAAUGGGCGCGAGCCUGAACCAGCCAAGUCGCGUGAGGGAUGACGGUCCUACGGAUUGUAAACCUCUUUUGCCUGGGAACAAGCGUGCGUUCGUGAACGCGCAUCUAGAGUACCCGGGGAAAAAGCAUCGGCUAACCCCGUGCCAGCAGCCGCGGUAAUAGGGAGGAUGCGAGCGUUUUCGGGAUUUAUUGGGUUAAAAGGGUGUGUAGGCGGGAUGUCCAGCCAGCGGUAAAGAUGCGGUGCUCAACGCCGUCGAGCCGGUGAAACUGGCAUUCUUGAGUGGGCGAGAGGUAUGCGGAAUGCGUGGUGUAGCGGUGAAAUGCAUAGAUAUCACGAAGAACUCCGAUUGCGAAGGCAGCAUACCGGCGUCCUACUGACGCUGAGGCACGAAAGCGUGGGUAUCGAACAGGAUUAGAUACCCGGGUAGUC
rnacentral:rRNA from 1 species